UCGGAAUCUGGGAGGACCAUCUCCUAAGGCUAAAUACUCUCUAGUGACCGAUAGUGAACCAGUACCGUGAGGGAAAGGUGAAAAGUACCCCGGAAGGGGAGUGAAAGAGAACUUGAAACCGUGUGCUUACAAGUAGUCAGAGCCCGUUAAUGGGUGAUGGCGUGCCUUUUGUAGAAUGAACCGGCGAGUUACGAUCUGAUGCAAGGUUAAGCAGAAAAUGUGGAGCCGUAGCGAAAGCGAGUCUGAAUAGGGCGAAUGAGUAUUUGGUCGUAGACCCGAAACCAGGUGAUCUACCCUUGGUCAGGUUGAAGUUCAGGUAACACUGAAUGGAGGACCGAACCGACUUACGUUGAAAAGUGAGCGGAUGAACUGAGGGUAGCGGAGAAAUUCCAAUCGAACUUGGAGAUAGCUGGUUCUCUCCGAAAUAGCUUUAGGGCUAGCCUCAAGUGAUGAUUAUUGGAGGUAGAGCACUGUUUGGACGAGGGGCCCCUCUCGGGUUACCGAAUUCAGACAAACUCCGAAUGCCAAAUAAUUUAACUUGGGAGUCAGAAUGUGGGUGAUAAGGUCCAUAUUCGAAAGGGAAACAGCCCAGACCACCAGCUAAGGUCCCAAAAUAUAUGUUAAGUGGAAAAGGAUGUGGCGUUGCCCAGACAACUAGGAUGUUGGCUUAGAAGCAGCCAUCAUUUAAAGAGUGCGUAAUAGCUCACUAGUCGAGUGACACUGCGCCGAAAAUGUACCGGGGCUAAACAUAUUACCGAAGCUGUGGAUUGUCCUUUGGACAAUGGUAGGAGAGCGUUCUAAGGGCGUUGAAGCAUGAUCGCAAGGACAUGUGGAGCGCUUAGAAGUGAGAAUGCCGGUGUGAGUAGCGAAAGACGGGUGAGAAUCCCGUCCACCGAUUGACUAAGGUUUCCAGAGGAAGGCUCGUCCGCUCUGGGUUAGUCGGGUCCUAAGCUGAGGCCGACAGGCGUAGGCGAUGGAUAACAGGUUGAUAUUCCUGUACCACCAUUAUUCGUUUUAAGCGAUGGGGGGACGCAGUAGGAUAGGCGAAGCGUGCUGUUGGAGUGCACGUCCAAGCAGUGAGAUUGAGUGUUAGGCAAAUCCGGCACUCUUAAGAUUGAGCUGUGAUGGGGAGAGGAACUUGUUCCUCGAGUCGUUGAUUUCACACUGCCGAGAAAAGCCUCUAGCUAGAAUAACGGUGCCCGUACCGCAAACCGACACAGGUAGUCAAGAUGAGAAUUCUAAGGUGAGCGAGCGAACUCUCGUUAAGGAACUC
rnacentral:rRNA from 1 species